CCUUGACAAGGUCUAUCUUGAAAAAGUGCAUCUUCCUCAAGAUCAAAUGCCACCAAAUAGCAGUGCUUCCAACAUGAGAUCACUUUGCUUAUUAGCCAAUGUUGUUGAUUUUAUUCCAGGAAGCACAGCAUUUAAAACAACUUGAAAACAUAGAUGCCUUGACAUCUGACAAACUCACAAGGAUAGCCACAUGUUUACUGACUGGCAUUUCCCUCUAGGCAAGGAGCUGGAUCAGGUACUUCAGGAAACCAGCUCUGGCAGCAUACAGGAAAAGAGAGACAGUGAUAUAAUGCACCAAAAGGAUUUUCCUGUCUAUCAGGCAAGAGAGUUGAUUCCUCGCUAGGUGGAGUGCCUACAGAUAUAGAAGCUGGAACUAGUGGUGAGGGGGGUGCUGUCGCACCUUCUGUUUUGAAGUGUUUACGAUCAUAUACAGGGUUUACAGUUUGGUUCAGUGGUUCUCAGCACUCCCACCAUACAAAUUGUUCCAGCACCACUGCCUAGAGACCCCAACUGAAAUCAGGGUCCUACUGUGCUAGGAUCUGUACAUACACAGAGUGUGAAAGAGGCCCUGCCAUGAAGAGCUUACAACAGAGAUGACCAGUACCUGCUGAUAGUGGUGGGGCAGAGUGAGCGCAGCGGCUUCAGCAGAUGAUGCUGAGAAUGCUCAGUCCGUGUGUGCCCUCCCUUCCCUCAUGCAUCAUGUCUGGCUUACAACCUGAUUUGACAAGACAGACAAAGGGUAUGUCUACACUACGGGAUUAAUCUGAAUUUAUAUAAUUCGAA